UACAGAGGUCUCAAGCGUUGUCCGGAAUCAUUGGGCGUAAAGAGCGUGUAGGCGGCUACUUAAGUCCUGCGUGAAAUCCUGCGGCUCAACCGCAGGCGGUCGUGGGAAACUGGGUGGCUAGAGUGCGGGAGAGGAGAGUGGAAUUCCUGGUGUAGCGGUGGAAUGCGCAGAUAUCAGGAAGAACACCCGUGGCGAAGGCGGCUCUCUGGAACGCAACUGACGCUGAGACGCGAAAGCGUGGGGAGCAAACAGG
rnacentral:rRNA from 1 species